CAAAGCUCAGCUGGUGGGGGUGAUCUGGAGGCCUUGUCAACAGCAUGCACUUGAUCCAGAGAAAGUCACUGGCACCAGAGCUGUGUUAGAAACUUCUAGGUACCCACCUGAGCUUAUCUUCAGGUAUGUAAGGAAUCAAAUCGAUGGCAUGAAUUUAGGCAAUUGCAUUCUGCUGGAGUGACAUGUUAGGAGCCUUCAUGCUUUUUUGAACUUUCUCCUCAAUCUGUGUAAGUUUUGCAGGAAAUGUUUCACAAUGGAGGUACACUGAGAAAGAAGUGAUGAAGUCCCUUAAAAGACUGGACAAACUUCCUAAACUUCUUGGUUUUGUCUGAUUGAAUGAGUUCUUAGGAAUACAUACCUUCAACCAGCUCCCUGAAAUCUGUAAAUCCAAAGUAUAAGGAGGGCUUAAAGCAGUUAUUGAGCAGGCCCUAGCACUCCCUGAACAGCAGAAGCAGAAUUUUUAUUUCCUUUAAGGAUAUGUAGAGUAUAUCCUCUUGUACAUGCUGGGCCAGCCAGCACCUUAGGAACAUCAUUUGGCUUCCCUAGGCACUCUUGUGGAAGCCUAGGAGGAAGCAAUGGGCAGUGGAUAAUUUGGUGGAGGGAAAAGCCAGGAGGAAGCAGUUAGAUAGAUAGUCCAGUGCACUGGACUAUCCCAUAUCCUACUAUAUACAGAUGAGCACUGUUGGGGCCAAAGCCUGGAAACAAUGGGAAAAAACUGGUCUGCCAAUACCUUUUAUUCCCAGGACGGGCACAGGUACUGGGAACUUCACACUACGGCUUGCUUGUUUUGCUUCUAGACCCGGACUGAGCAGAUGUGAAGAUGGCAACAAUGGGACUGAAAACAACAGGGGAAAAAAGAAGGUGGCAACCAGAGCUGUCUUUCUUCUUGCAAGACAGAGUACAAAGCCUCUGCACACUCCUGAAUGCUGUCACUCUUCACGAGUACAAUCUCUGUCUCGCUCAGCAAUGGGCAUCUGGAAGCCACGACACCAGUUAUAACAGCCUAUGUCAAGGAUAUUAAUUAAAUUCCUGAUGGCCACCCAGAGAAGCUAAUGAGUGUAAAUUUCACAACAUCCCAACUCAUAAGGCAGCCCACUUAACCUUUUCAGCAUUGAUAUCCUUCCUCCAGGAGGGAAGUAAGGAAGUGAGCUGUUUGCCGAGGGAGCAUGGAAAGGAGGAACAGGGAAAGGAGGAGAUACUUGGUCUGGAACAGUUUAAAAUACAAACAGAUGAGAACUGGAUCUGCUGGAUUCAGAUAUCCCACAACAGAAUGGAAAAAGGUUUUUUUCAGAACUGAGAUCCCAGACAGCAUUUUGCACAGAACCUUUAUUGCUAUGAAUCUGAGUGUAUCUCCUCACCUCAGCCUCUUCCAGCUCCAUGAGCAAGAGAAGCAGCUCUCUUUUUAACCCCAAUGAGGCACACUUACUGGACUUUGAAUUCCCCCUGCUCUUGACAUAGCACACCUCUUACAUUUCUGAGUGCUGUGGAGGACAGAAUACGUAAUUACCAUCAUCCCACCAUACAGUUACCUCUACAAUAGAUGUACAGACAGCCUAAAUUAACAUGUAGUGAAUCAUGUAAGUGCUAUGGGACCAACAAUUGGAACUGGGGAAUUUCUGACACCCAUCUUUAUCAUCAGGGAUUUUGAUCACUUCAAUGUUCAAAGUGUUUUCUUAAUUCACAAACCUCAUUUACGAUAUCUACCAUUAGGCCCUAAUAAAAAUGCCUUCACUCUAAAGUCA
ensembl:lncRNA